UACGUAGGGUGCAAGCGUUGUCCGGAAUUAUUGGGCGUAAAGAGCUCGUAGGCGGUCUGUCGCGUCGGAUGUGAAAAUCCAGGGCUCAACCCUGGACCUGCAUUCGAUACGGGCAGACUAGAGUUCGGUAGGGGAGACUGGAAUUCCUGGUGUAGCGGUGAAAUGCGCAGAUAUCAGGAGGAACACCGGUGGCGAAGGCGGGUCUCUGGGCCGAUACUGACGCUGAGGAGCGAAAGCUAGGGGAGCGAACGGG
rnacentral:rRNA from 1 species